rnacentral:lncRNA from 1 species
CCCACCAAUGCUUUGUGAUGGACCUAUCUUCUUCUCUUUGCAGUAAUUGUGACUCAGGGGAAGGGGUACCCCCUCAACUUCUCCCUGAAGGUUCUCGAUGGUCCCACGGAGCCGGUCAAAGUAGGCUCCCUACUAACCCUGGAAGCUCGAGUGGAGCCUGUUCCUGGCCAUGCCCUGAAAAUCUAUGUGGACAAGUGCUUCGGGAUGCAGACCAGAGUGCUGGGCCAGAGCCAAAGGAUGCAGUCCCUUGUCUUCAAUCAGGGGUGUAUAUUGCCUGCUGGCUGCUGGUUUGGAGUCAGAAGAAGGUGGUGGAACCCGGCCGGAAAAUGUGUUACUACAAUUCCCUCUCCUCCAGGCCUAGCUGGUACCUCCAGGAGGGCAGCCUUGGGAAUUCUGUGUGUCACUGCUGUGAGACUGUCUGUCCAUCAUUGGAGAGUUUCCACAGAGAGUUCCCAGGUGAAGGGAGAGCCCACAUGCUCCUGGUUGGACCCUUGGUCGUGCAGAAGGCUCAGACUUUCUGGUUUGAAGACCACUGUACGACCCUGAAUGAGCUGAUAGUCUCCGGGAUGGCCUUCACGGGCAGCUUCGGCAUGGUGCUGAUGAUCGUACUGGCCAUCUUGGGCACGCUGGUGGCCUGUGUCCGGCCCAUGUGCCGCUGGCCCCGGAUGACGUGGGUGAGACCCAGAGAGAGCCCUUUCCAAAGAGAGCUGGUGACUUUUGAGGAGGCCCUGGACAGCCCGGUCAGGGAGGAAGAAGAGAGGCCAGCGGAGGUGGAAAGGGGACAAAGCUGAGGAGCUUCCCUUGCUCUUGAAAUAAAGCGCCUUUUAGAAUGCUACA